rnacentral:rRNA from 1 species
UAGAGUUUUGAUCCUGGCUCAGGACGAACGCUGGCGGCGUGCUUAACACAUGCAAGUCGAACGAUGAAGCCCAGCUUGCUGGGUGGAUUAGUGGCGAACGGGUGAGUAACACGUGGGUGAUCUGCCCUGCACUUCGGGAUAAGCCUGGGAAACUGGGUCUAAUACCGGAUAGGACCUCGGGAUGCAUGUUCCGGGGUGGAAAGGUUUUCCGGUGCAGGAUGGGCCCGCGGCCUAUCAGCUUGUUGGUGGGGUAACGGCCCACCAAGGCGACGACGGGUAGCCGGCCUGAGAGGGCGACCGGCCACACUGGGACUGAGACACGGCCCAGACUCCUACGGGAGGCAGCAGUGGGGAAUAUUGCACAAUGGGCGCAAGCCUGAUGCAGCGACGCCGCGUGAGGGAUGACGGCCUUCGGGUUGUAAACCUCUUUCAGUA